CCAAUAGCGUAUAUUAAAGUUGUUGCAGUUAAAAAGCUCGUAGUUGAAUUUUGGGUCUGGCCGGGCGGUCCGCCCUCUGGGUGAGCACUGUUCCGACGCCGGGCCUAUCCUUCUGGUGAGUCGGCAUGUCCUUUGUUGGGUGUGUCGGGGAACCAGGACCAUUACCUUGAAAAAAUUAGAGUGUUCAGAGCAGGCGUAUGCUCGGAUACAUUAGCAUGGAAUAAUGAAAUAGGACGCGUGGUGGUAUUUUGUUGGUUUCUAGAACCGCCGUAAUGAUUAAUAGGGAUAGUUGGGGGCAUUAGUAUUCAAUUGUCAGAGGUGAAAUUCUUGGAUUUAUUGAAGACUAACUGCUGCGAAAGCAUUUGCCAAGGAUGUUUUCAUUAAUCAAGAACGAAAGUUAGGGGAUCGAAGACGAUCAGAUACCGUCGUAGUCUUAACCAUAAACUAUGCCGACUAGGAAUCGGGCGAUGUUAUUCUCAUGACUCGCCCGGCGCCUUAUG
rnacentral:rRNA from 1 species